rnacentral:rRNA from 1 species
CUGCGAAUGGCUCAUUAAAUCAGUUAUCGUUUAUUUGAUAGUACCUUACCACUUGGAUAACCGUGGUAAUUCUAGAGCUAAUACAUGCUAAAAACCCCGACUUCGGAAGGGGUGUGUUUAUUAGAUAAAAAACCAAUGCCCUUCGGGGCUCUUUGGUGAUUCAUGAUAACCUAACGGAUCGCAUGGCCUUGCGCCGGCGACGGUUCAUUCAAAUUUCUGCCCUAUCAACUUUCGAUGGUAAGGUAUUGGCUUACCAUGGUUUCAACGGGUAACGGGGAAUUAGGGUUCGAUUCCGGAGAGGGAGCCUGAGAAACGGCUACCACAUCCAAGGAAGGCAGCAGGCGCGCAAAUUACCCAAUCCCGACACGGGGAGGUAGUGACAAUAAAUACUGAUACAGGGCUCUUUUGGGUCUUGUAAUUGGAAUGAGUACAAUUUAAACCCCUUAACGAGGAACAAUUGGAGGGCAAGUCUGGUGCCAGCAGCCGCGGUAAUUCCAGCUCCAAUAGCGUAUAUUAAAGUUGUUGCAGUUAAAAAGCUCGUAGUUGAAACUUGGGUCUGGCUAGCGGGUCCGCCUCACCGCGUGCACUUGUCCGGCUGGACCUUUCCUUCUGGAGAACCUCAUGCCCUUCACUGGGUGUGUUGGGGAACCAGGACUUUUACUUUGAAAAAAUUAGAGUGUUCAAAGCAGGCCUUUGCUCGAAUACGUUAGCAUGGAAUAAUAGAAUAGGACGUGCGGUCCUAUUUUGUUGGUUUCUAGGAUCGCCGUAAUGAUUAAUAGGGAUAGUCGGGGGCAUCAGUAUUCAAUUGUCAGAGGUGAAAUUCUUGGAUUUAUUGAAGACUAACUACUGCGAAAGCAUUUGCCAAGGAUGUUUUCAUUAAUCAGUGAACGAAAGUUAGGGGAUCGAAGACGAUCAGAUACCGUCGUAGUCUUAACCGUAAACUAUGCCGACUAGGGAUCGGGCGAUGUUUCUAUCUUGACUCGCUCGGCACC